CCUACGGGAGGCAGCAGUGAGGAAUAUUGGACAAUGGGCGCAAGCCUGAUCCAGCCAUGCCGCGUGCAGGAUGACGGUCCUAUGGAUUGUAAACUGCUUUUGUACAGGAAGAAACACUCUCUCGUGAGAGAGCUUGACGGUACUGUGAGAAUAAGGAUCGGCUAACUCCGUGCCAGCAGCCGCGGUAAUACGGAGGAUCCAAGCGUUAUCCGGAAUCAUUGGGUUUAAAGGGUCCGUAGGCGGUCUUAUAAGUCAGUGGUGAAAUCUCCCCGCUCAACGGGGAAACGGCCAUUGAUACUGUAGGACUUGAAUUAUUAGGAAGUAACUAGAAUAUGUAGUGUAGCGGUGAAAUGCUUAGAGAUUACAUGGAAUACCAAUUGCGAAGGCAGGUUACUACUAAUGGAUUGACGCUGAUGGACGAAAGCGUGGGUAGCGAACAG
rnacentral:rRNA from 1 species